AAGCUUUUGCAAGCACAAAGUCUCCGGUUGUCAUUCCAGGGCUGCUGUGCCAUAGCUACAUUUAGAAAGUUGCAGGAGAAAAUAAACUGAUUAACAAGCAGCGAAACCUGCAAAUUAUGCCUCACUUAGGCUUAGAUUCAAGAAAACCCAGACCAAGCUUGGGAUUCUAAGAGUCUCUCCGUGCAAGCUGACCUCAUGGAGAAAGUGGCAGAGCUUGUCCCUUCCACUGGGAGACCCUGGAGUUCAUUCAGGAGACUGGAUGCCCCUGGGCUCGGGCUGCACUGUGGACCCCACUGUGGAAUCACCACUCCCAGGCUGACCUCAGGCAGGUUCCAGAUCUGUUCUCCACUUCUGCAACAAAACUUACCCGGGCCAUGGUUUUAUGCAGAAAUCUGACAAGGCAGGUCCAUCAAGAGGUUUCCAGAAGAAGGCAUCGCUAUCACAGGAGAUGGCAGCUCCAUGCCUGUUACUGCCCCUGAAGAUGUUCCAGUGGGACAGGGUGUGGAGGUGGAAGACAGCAACAGUGACGAUCCUGACCCUAAGAGUUGGGUGCUUUUGUGCACAGAAGAAAAACAAAUACCUGGAAUUAGAAUUACUGACAAAAUAACUGGUUCACCAGCAGUCUUCAAAACCAUACAGGACCUGCUGGCUUGAGAUAAGUCCUCACAACUUUCACAUUUUCCUAUUCAUUGGAAAACCCAAAAGAGCCUCAUGGGGGGCCCAGUGAUUAAAGAUAAUUGUAAUCUUAGUAACAAUAAUAGCAACAGUCAUCUAUGGAGUAUUAUAGGCCUACCAACAUUCUAAAUCUGUAUGUGCAUUAUUUCAAAUUAUUUUAACAAUAACAGGAGGAAACAAUUAUAACUGAAAAAAAAAACCAGAUUGGAGAAUUUAAGCAAACGGCCUCAGGUUACACAUAUAAUAAUGAAAUAAGCAGGGAUUAAUCCCAGGAAGUCUGAUUUUAGAACUCAUACAAAUAACUAUUCUAUUUUAGUAUAUUGUAUGAAAGGGGAAUUUUGAGAAGGAAAAUGAAAAAUGAGGAAAAAUUGACGAUGUGAGUAUGUUUCAUUGGGGAAGACAAAUUUUGAAGUUAGGUUCACCUUAUUUUAUUAUUAUUAUCUUUUUGAGAUGGAGUCUCAC
rnacentral:lncRNA from 1 species